CCUACGGGUGGCAGCAGUGAGGAAUAUUGGUCAAUGGGCGGAAGCCUGAACCAGCCAAGUAGCGUGCAGGAUGACGGCCCUACGGGUUGUAAACCGCUUUUAUACGGGAACAACGCGCCUUACGUGUAGGGCUUUGCAUGUACCGUACGAAUAAGGACCGGCAAAUUCCGUGCCAGCAGCCGCGGUAAUACGGAAGGUCCGGGCGUUAUCCGGAUUUAUUGGGUUUAAAGGGAGCGUAGGCCGCAUGUCAAGCGUGCUGUGAAAUGCCCGGGCUCAACCCGGGCCUUGCAGCGCGAACUGGCGUGCUUGAGUGCGCGGAGGGUAGGCGGAAUUCGUGGUGUAGCGGUGAAAUGCUUAGAUAUGACGAAGAACCCCGAUUGCGAAGGCAGCUUGCUGCAGCGGAACUGACGCUGAUGCUCGAAGGCGCGGGUAUCGAACAGGAUUAGAUACCCGUGUAGUC
rnacentral:rRNA from 1 species